rnacentral:rRNA from 1 species
UACGGGGGGAGCAAGCGUUGUUCGGAUUUACUGGGCGUAAAGGGCGCGUAGGCGGCGCAACAAGUCACUUGUGAAAUCUCCGGGCUUAACCCGGAGCGGUCAAGUGAUACUGUCGUGCUAGAGUGCGGAAGGGGCUACUGGAAUUCUCGGUGUAGCGGUGAAAUGCGUAGAUAUCGAGAGGGAACACCUGCGGCGAAGGCGGGUAGCUGGGCCGACACUGACGCUGAUGCGGCGAAAGCCAGGGGAGCGAACGGG